CAGGCAUGUGGUAUCUGAGGCAUAGCAUCCUGACCUAGUUGGCUACGGCCUAGACCGCAGACCCCUGCAGAAAUCCUCCAGGAUUAUCCUGUUGUAAACUUUGCAGGACCUCAGUGAUUAGUGGGAUUUGGCUCUGUGCUGCUCAUACACGGUCACACAUGCUUUUUCCCAAGGUAUGUUUUGUGUUCUU